CAUUUACCUUCCUUUUCCAAAGAUAUGUUUAUCAGACCUACUUUGGUAUGUUAUUUGUAUCAUUAGUUUGUUGUAUUAUACAUUAACAAUUAACACAGACACCAACAAAACACACGCACACACAUACACACAAACACUACAACUUAAUAAUCAAGAAUUAGUUUAAUUACCAUUUUAUUAUACUUUGAUCAACUUUUUCGAUUGAUUUCUUUUAUUGAAUAUGUUCAAACACGUCGAAUAUGUAACUUGUUAACAAUGUAAACCAAAGAGGACUCUUUUCACCUUUUUUUUAAAUUAUUUUCCCUUCGUCUGUUUUUAUAGAUAAUUUUCCUAAGUCGUUAAAAGAGCACAACUAAUAAAAAUGUAUCGAUCGUUGAUUGUAUUUCCCAUGUAUAAUAAGUAAAUAUGGUAAACACAUUUGGUCAUAUAACAGGUUUUAAUUGCAAAUACUAUAAACAUGAUAAUUGAUUUUUGUUUGCCUAUAUCGUCAGGUGAAAUAUAUUUCUUGCAUGUCCAACGACAAAAAUUUACAAUGAAUACUAGUAUGUAAUUGUGUAGGGGAGACAUUUCAGUAUUUUAUUGUGCUUAUACGUAUGUUUACAUGUUUAUGUUUUGAAAUUUCAUAACAGUUUUUUUUAAAGAAAACCUCCCCAAAAAACCUUGGUCUUACGUUCCAUAAGUUUUACAUACGCCACAAUGAUCCUCGAUCCUUAUUUCAAAAUUCAGGUAUGGUGUUUUAGACUUUCACCAACUGUUUUAUAAAUUGAUAUGGUCACCUGGACUUCACCCACGCAAGAGUAAAAUCCAUAUGCAGGAUGAAAUAGUGCGAGAGUAUAAAUAUACAACCACUUGCGACGGAAAUACGGAGAUUAUAUACAAUGAGAUCACGUCAUGUCUGGGGAGGUUGAGGACUAAUACGAUCAAUUAUUUAGGGGACUGUAGAGGACCUGUUGCGAGGGUAAAUUUUAAUUCAAUCGUACCAUUGUCUUUUUUUUCAAAUAUAAACAAGUUAUUGGCUGGUAAUCCAUAUCCAUCAACAUUUUAGGUCAUACAAUUUUUUAAUUAUUUUUAAUUUGUGCUCGUCUUGGACACGCAUAAAAUCUAAUACUAUCCUUUCGAUAGGAAGUAGACAAAGGUAAAACUAUUAUUGAUUACACUUGAGUAUCUCUGUGUAUAGAAACCAUUUUUCAGAUAACGAUUUAAAUAUGAUAGAACAUUUAUUCUAUUGUAGGAUAAUGGCCACCAAUUGGAAUAUUUGUGGUGUUUGUGAAAAUCUUCAGAAUACCAAAAAUUCUGUAGUAUGGUGUACUGAAUGUGACGAAGGACUUUGUGAAGAGUGUAAGAAUCAUCACGCUGUUUCCAGGGCAACAAAAAGUCAUAAAACCGUUCAUAUCUCCGAAUACAAAAAGUUACCUACCGAAAUCCUGCAAAUCGCUCAGACCUGCAAACUUCAUUAUGAAAAAUACGAUAUGUUCUGUAGGAAACACGAUUGUCCAUGCUGUAAGAAAUGUUUAAAAUCUCACAAUGAUUGUAAAGGUUUUACGGACAUAAAUGAAAUCAUAAAAAACGUAAAAACUUCAAACGCCUUACAUGAAAUUGAGCAAACCCUGAUUGAAGUCGUCGAGAACAUUAAACAACUCAGUGCUAAUAGGAAAGAAAAUUUAAAAUUUCUAAAUAAAAAUAAAAGAGAAAUUGAAGCAAAAAUAAAACAAACUAGGAUUAAUGUUAAUCUCCACCUUGAUAAACUUCAGGAAAAUUUGAUUAAAGAAUUAAUGAGAGUGGAACAAAAAGAAAAAAGGAACAUAGAAAAAUUGAUGGCUUCUCUGAAAAAGAAGGAAAAGGAGAUCACUGAAGUACAAGAAAAUAUUGCUAGUAUUAAACAGCAUGCGUCCGAACUUCAAACAUUUUUAGCCAUGAAAGAUAUUGAAAAAGAUAUUGCAAGCGAAGAGAAAUUUGUUCAAUCGAUCACCACAAAUCAAGUCAACAUUUCAUGCGAAAUUAACAAGUUUUUACAGCAAAUUGCAGACAGCGUACAGAAGUUUGGUGAUAUAAGUUUCUGUUCUGUUCCAUGUAAUGUUCCAAUUCAGAAACGAAAGGACAGACAAGCCCAGAUUAUUGUAGCUCUUUCAACCAGAAAUAUUGAAAAUCUUACUCUGACAUUACGAACACGUAUCAAUACAAAAUUGACAGAAAUCUAUGGUUGUGCACUGUUUCCUGGUGAUAGAAUGGCAUUCUCAUCUUCCAGGGACGAUAAAAUAUCAGUAUUUAAGCCUGACGGAUCGAAAGAUUUCGAAAUAAAGAAAAUUGGUCGAGCGUUUGAUCUGGUAAUUAUUGAUGAUGAUUCUAUGGCUGUAACAUUCGGCAAAUCAGGUCAGAUUAGAAUAAUCGAAUUAAAGACUUUCAAAUUGAAGAGAUCAAUAAAAGUUAAGUCAAUCACUGGUGGUGUAGUAUACAAAGACGGACAUUUGAUUUAUUGUGCUGGGAAGAAAGGGAUUCAGAUGAUCAGUCUGAAUGACGAAACCAUUACCAAUCUGAGCAAUACCAAUCUCUCAGGAUGGGGGUACGUUUCAACAUUCGAUAACAAAAUUUUCUACACAAAUUAUGACGAUCACAAUGUAACCUGCUGUGAUUACCAUGGUAAAAUACUGUGGACGUUCAGUGAUCAAAGUGUUUUGCGGUAUCCAUUAGGUAUCUCUGUAGACCAUGAUGGUAACGUGUAUGUAGCGGGGUAUGGUACUUACAAUGUGGUCGUCAUCUCCCCUGAUGGACAGUGCUACAGACAACUCUUAUCAUGCGAAGACGGAAUGAGUGCCCCAUGGGCUCUGCAUUAUGACACAUGUACUAAUGAAUUGUUAGUUGCAAAUGUAUCCGGUGAAGCGCUUUUGUAUAAUGUUAAAUGAUUUGAAAUGAAGGUUGACUUUUCCGGAAUUCGACUUACCUUAUUUAUGUUGACCUUAUCUAUCAAUUUGAUGAGCUGGA
rnacentral:lncRNA from 1 species